rnacentral:rRNA from 1 species
UACGGAGGGUGCAAGCGUUAUCCGGAUUCACUGGGUUUAAAGGGUGCGUAGGCGGGCAGGUAAGUCAGUGGUGAAAUCUCCGGGCUUAACUCGGAAACUGCCAUUGAUACUAUCUGUCUUGAAUACCGUGGAGGUCAGCGGAAUAUGUCAUGUAGCGGUGAAAUGCUUAGAUAUGACAUAGAACACCAAUUGCGAAGGCAGCUGGCUACACGAAUAUUGACACUGAUGCACGAAAGCGUGGGGAUCAAACAGG